UCCGCUGUCUCUAUCGCCCCGUCUUCCCCCGUCUCCCAGAUCUGACCAUGGGCACAGCAGGUCGGCAACAACAACCACCGGAGCUUGGGAGGGCAAGGUUGAUCGAGUCCCCAUGAGUUGACCAGAGCACAUAGCGCCCCUGCCUUCUCCCUCGCUAGCUCAAGCCCCUGGCCUACAUGCUCAGCCGGCGGCAUAACGAGACGCGGCACCGGCACCGUGCGAGGACGACUGCGAGAUACGGCAUACGCCGGUGGUAUGCAGGUUGGGAAGUCCAAGAUCAUAUCCCUGCUCCUUGAUAAGCGAACAAGAACCUCUGUUUCUCUUGCCACACUAGCAAGAUCCAUCAUGGUCGUCGUCCACCACAUCUGACAUGUUCAACUGUUCAACCUUUUACUCGCCCCUUGGUUUGUCUUCAGCAUUAUCUCCUGCUGUGAAACAUGUGACGGCACACUAAAGAGCCACAAGCAUAUAUGGCUUCAGAGAUGUGGAUGACGUGUUCGAGGUAAUGCUCAACAGGUUGUAGUAAAGAUAGGCAUGAUGUAGUAAAGCUGCUUCCCUGCUCUGACUUCAUGCUCUUUUGCUCCAACCAUUAAUUUAAGACGUUAAUUCAGCAGUGCCACAUAACAAGUCGAUGAAUUCUCUUCAUCGCGUUUACAGUAGUGGUGGGUGCCUGCCCCCACUAUCUUGGAGUAGACCAAUCCUAGCACAGGCUGCACACAAGACAAGUCCACACCAAUCACUUUGUGAGAGGUGGCCAAAUCUAACUACCCCUGUUUCUCAUGUAAGUCAUAUAUCCAUGGUUGUUGUCUUAAAACUCUCCUUCAUUUCAGGCCGAUUAGUUGCCUUAGGCCCUGAAUACACGGAUAAAUUAAGCAGGUUCUUCAGGUGAGCUCAGAGUUCCAUAGAGCAGAAUACAUUUUUUCCUAAACUAUUUCAAGACCAAAAAUACAAUUUAUCUCUUUACAGGAUACUAUUGUACUAC